AUGGAACUGGACACUGGUGCAGCCAUUUCGCUGGUCUCAGAGACUGUGUAUAAAGAAAAGCAACAGCAUCUUCCGCUUAAAGCAACAAAAACAGUGCUGAAGACAUAUACGGGAGAAGCUGUGCCCAUGUUGGGCACUACUGAUGUUAAGGUGGAGCUCAAUGGACAGACUGAUAAAUUGCCACUGUUUGUGGUGAGAGGUAAUUACCCAGCCUUAAUGGGUAGGUCUUGGCUUAGGAAGAUCCAGCUGAAUUGGGCAGAAGUGCACCGAGUGACUAAAGAAGAAACCGGUCUGACCACUAUACUAAGGAAACAUGCUGCUGUUUUUGGAGAGGAUCUGGGAAGUAUGAAGAGAAUCACUGUGACACUGAACAUUAAACCUGACAGUCAACCAAAAUAUCUGAAAGCCAGAACUGUGCCAUAUGCCAUCAGGCCGAAAGUUGAAGCGGACCUGGAGCGCCUGGUCACAAAUGGAGUCCUGAUACCAGUUACCCAUAGCCCAUGGGCAACUCCUAUCAUUCCAAUAGUGAAGAAAGAUGGCUCCCUCCAGAUUUGCGGUGAUUUUAAAGUCACUGUCAACCCGGUGUUAUAUGCAGAGCAAUACCCGCUUCCCCGCAUCAAUGACCUCUUCGCAGGCCUGGCUGGGGGACAAAAGUUCAGUAAGAUUGAUCUGAGUCAAGCGUAUUUACAGAUGCAUGUUGAUGAAAAGUCCCAAGAGCUGUUGACUAUUGUGAUGCAUAAGGGGCUUUAUCGAUACUGUCGCCUACCCUUCGGAAUAACAUCUGCUCCCGCCCUGUUCCAGAGGGCUAUGGACCAGAUUUUGUGUGGCUUGCCAGGAGUCCAGUGCUAUCUGGAUGACAUCCUGGUCACUGGAAGGAAUGAGGAGGAUCACCUAAAGAAUUUAGAGGCUACCCUACAAAGACUGGAAGAGUAUGGACUGCAAGUCCGCAAAGAGUCCAUGAAUUCUUCCAGCCCUCUGUUGAAUAUUUGGGACACAUCAUUGAUGCUACAGGUCUUUGUAAGGCCCCUGCCAAAGUUAAGGCUAUUGUGGAGGCUCCCCCUCCUCGAAAUGUUCGCUCAUUUCUAG
rnacentral:lncRNA from 1 species